GCUGGUGUGGCUCAGUGGAUAGAGCGUCAGCCUGUGAACUGAAGGGUCCUGGGUUCGAUUCCAGUCAAGGGCA
rnacentral:tRNA from 1 species